rnacentral:rRNA from 1 species
UACGGAGGGUGCAAGCGUUAUCCGGAUUCACUGGGUUUAAAGGGAGCGCAGGCGGACUUGUAAGUCAGUGGUGAAAUACCUGGGCUUAACUCGGGAACUGCCAUUGAUACUAUAGGUCUUGAAUGUUGUUGAGGUUUGCGGAAUGGGUCAUGUAGCGGUGAAAUGCAUAGAUAUGACCCGGAACACCUAUUGCGAAGGCAGCAGGCUAAACAAAUAUUGACGCUGAGGCUCGAAAGCGUGGGGAGCGAACAGG